ensembl:lncRNA TTLL10-AS1 TTLL10 antisense RNA 1
AGCCAGGCGGAACCCUGGGCCGCGGAGCGCGACAGCUCCCCUCUGUGCCUGCAGAGCCCGGCGCCCACAGCUGGCCCCUCUCUCGGAGCAGCGGGGCAUGGCCAUGUGUGGAUCCUGCCCCUGCCCCAUGAGGCCGACUGACUUCCUUGGGUAUGGGGCACCCGUCCCAGGGAGGCCUUGGCCUUGGAGAGCCUCUCCAGCUGUACAGCGUCAGCCUCUCUCCAGCUGCACAGCGUCAGCCUCUCUCCACCUGCACAGUGUCAGCCUCUCUCCACCUGCACAGCGGCUGGGAGCAGCAGCCUCUCCACCUGCACAGCGUCAGCCUCUCUCCACCUGCACAGCGUCAGCCUCUCUCCACCUGCACAGCGGCUGGGAGCAGCAGCCUCUCCACCGGCACAGCGGCAGCCUCUCUCCACCUGCACAGCGUCAGCCUCUCUCCACCUGCACAGCGUCAGCCUCUCUCCACCUGCACAGCGGCUGGGAGCAGCAGUCUCUCCACCUGCACAGCGGCAGCCUCUCUCCACCUGCACAGCGUCAGCCUCUCCACCUGCACAGCGUCAGCCUCUCUCCACCUGCACAGUGGCUGGGAGCAGCAGCCUCUCCACCUGCACAGCGUCAGCCUCUUUCCACCUGCACAGCGUCAGCCUCUCUCCACCUGCACAGCGGCUGGGAGCAGCAGCCUCUCCACCGGCACAGCGGCAGCCUCUCUCCACCUGCACGGCAGCAGCCUCUCCACCGGCACAGCGGCAGCCUCUCUCCACCUGCACGGUGGCAGCCUCUCUCCACCUGCACAGCGGCUGGGAGCAGCAGCCUCUCCACCUGCACAACAGCAGCCUCUCUCCACCUGCACAGCAGCUGGGAGCAGCAGCCUCGCAGGGUUGCUGCAAAGAUGGAGUUUCCACAUGUAAUGUCAGGACAGCACCCGCCACACACUGCGCAGUCUGCAGGGCUGUGGUGAUGGUGACUGUGGGGGUGACGGGAGGCAGAGAGCUCAGGGACAGCUCAGGAUAGGCGGGAACACAAGCACAUGUGAAAAGCAAGGCGAUCGCCAACUCUGAGGAAAACAAAUGGGCACCACCCGGGGAGGCCGGGCAGCUCUGCCCCAAACAUCAUUCGUGCCGGGAUGAUAUGGACAGGGCAGCGUGUGGAAGACAAGCCCCUUUCACCGUCCACGGGGAAUUUCUGCACUGGAAGCUCCAGAAGCAGCAGCAUCAGGUGCUUUUUGGAAACAGGCAGUUAGAAAGCGGAAGCACAGCACCCACCCCCCCACCCAGGAAACUGCCUCCGUCUCUUCUGCUGCAGAAGAAGCAGCAGCUGGAAGAGGCAGCCAGGUGCUGAUUUCAUCGUAAGCCUGAGGCCUCCUUUGGGCUUUUCUAACUUUAUGUCCUUAUGAUGUUCACAAAUAACUAAAUAAGUUGUGAGCUGUUAUUUCUUGUCAUUGAAAUUAAAGGUGUUUUUUUUUUUAAUUUUUUUAGACGAAGUCUCACUCUGUCGCCCAGGCUGGAGUGCAAUGGCGCAAUCGCGGCUCACUGUAACCUCCGCCUCCCAGGUUCAAACAAUUCUCCCGCCUCAGCCUCCUGAGUAGCUGGGAUUACAGGCGCCUGCUGCCAUGCCCGGCUAAUUUUUGUAUUUUUAGUAGAGACAGGGUUUCUCCAUGUUGACCAGGCUGGUCUCAAACUCCUGACCUCGUGAUCCGCCCACCUCGGCCUCCCAAAGUGCUGGGAUUACAGGCGUGAGCCACCGCCCCGGACUGAAAUCAAAGGUUUCUUAAGCAGCUGCCCGCUGUGUGUGUGGUGAACCCGGGGCCUGAAUGCAGGUGGGACGCAGCCUCCCAAGCGCCGGGAGCCGCUGGCUCCUCACGCCUGUCGAUCUAGCAAAUGUGCUUUGGAGUCUCUGACGGACGCGAUUCUGAAUCCAGAAGGAAAGCGUCUCACUCCGAGAUGCUGACUGACGUGUCCUUUAUAGCGGUGGGACUUGGGAAGCCGGUGACGCCCGGUGUGGAGGACGGUUGUGACGCCCCUCGGUGGGGACACGGUGUAAAGGCGGCGUGGAAACUUGGUGCACGACCUUACAAUAAAUUGUAAAAUAAGCGUUUUACCUGGUGAGAUGAAAAGACCGGCAGGAGACGGCACCCCGGUAGGAUGAACAGAAGAGACUUUUAAACCUGAAGAAAUCAUCCAAAAAGCGACCACAUGUUAGUGUCCUGCUGCGAGUUCUCCCCCCAGAAUCCAAGCUUGGCCACGUGGGGCCCUAGGAAGGUACUGACAUUGUUCGAAGAGCUGGUGCCUCCCGGCCGGAGGCCGCUGUCAAAGGACGCACGACCUGUGGGCUCAAGCAGCCGUCCGUCCAGGACUUGCUCUGCGGAGGCAGACCUGGUCCCAGGCCACGGAGCUCGUCCCAGGGCUGCCCAGCCCUCCCACCCCACCGGGUACACACACCGUUCCCCGGCCUGGCCUGGACCCGAGCCUCUCGCACGGUGGCGCUGGGGUCCGGGACCCGCAGAGCAGGCUCAGCCUGGCCCCACCCUACCCGAUCCCUGUCCAGUCCCCUCCCCAGCCUCCUCCUCUCCUGAGCAGCCUCCCGAGGGGACCCGCAGGCAGGGCGUAGGAGGGCGGGGCCGAGCCCACUGGACCCCAGCUGGUGGCCGCCGGCGCUUCUUACCUGCCCAGCCCACAAGGUCCUGGGAGCCUGGGCCAGGAAACAACAGUGGUGACCUGGCAACCGUCUCCUGGCAACCCCCACCCAGCCGGAACCCAGAGGUGAGCUUGGGUUUUCGGAGGAUGGGGAGGGGCUGCUGAGUGGCGGGGCCAGCCCGGGAAGCCGGGCUGAGGGCUGAGGCUGGAGAAGGGCACAGCUUCAUGGGCACAGCUGCCUCCCAGUCACUGCUGGGACUGCCUGAGCCUGAGCCCCAGUUGCUGCCCCUCCGCCCGGCCCUCCCAGGAUGGUCCCUGAGCCGUCUCUCAGGCCCCACCCAUGCUCAGCACCCCAGGACCUGGCCCGGGCCAGGCUCUGCGUGCACCCUGGUGAUGUUGGCUGGAUACACGGCUGCCGAUCCCUGAGCAUUCUCUGUGCUUCACGUGGUCGGGUCCCUGUUCUCACUCCACAGCGGACGAGGUGCCACUGUGCCCCCCUCUGCAAACAGGAACCGGGGGCUCCACAAAGUGAGUGCCCCCCAGAGGGGGACUCACAUCUAUCGGUCCAAACUGCACCUUUCUGUAAGCCCCUCGCUGUGUCACAGACCUCGGCCAAAGUGAAGCAUUCCGCAGGGGUUUGGGCCGUGAGGAACAGCCUGCCCGACACCUGACUUGAACACUCUGCGGGGAAAAACACCGAGGAACAUCACGAUUACCUUCUGCGGGAACAAGGGCCAAACAAACGGCCUCAUCCUGAAGCCGUGUGGCCCGGGCCGCUCCCACCCAUACCUAUAGGCACCCCAGCCCGUAGGCGGCAGUGGGCUCUGGCAUCCAGCUGGUCCCCCACCUCUGCAGGUGUUUGCAAUGUACCCGUGUUGAUGUAAGGCUGCCCUUUCUCC